CUUUUUCUUCAGCUUCAAGCCUCAGCAGGUCUCAGAGGACCAAUCAGAGCCCAGCUACAGACCACAUGAUCAACCAGGGUGAAACUGAAGACGGACAUUACGCUUCUCUUCUUCAUGGUGAUUCUUGUCUCUAUGAAACACUCAGAGGCUCUGAAGAACGUAAACAAGGGACGAAUGAUGAACCAGAGGAGAGCGAUUACUCAAAUGUGACGAGAUAAACAGCUGCAGGUACUUCAAGUACAACGGACCAUGUAGUACAAUAUGAAUAAAACAUCUGCAUGGACAGAACCAGGGGAACAGAUGACGACAUGAAAAACCACAUCUUUGUCUCUGAGUAAUUAUUGUGUAACUUCUUUCCUGAUAUGAGACAGUAUUUU